UACAGAGGUCCCAAGCGUUGUUCGGAUUCACUGGGCGUAAAGGGUGCGUAGGUGGUUGGGCAAGUCUGAUGUGAAAUCUCCGGGCUUAACCCGGAAAUGGCAUUGGAAACUGCCCGGCUAGAGUGUUGGAGGGGGGACUGGAAUUCUCGGUGUAGCAGUGAAAUGCGUAGAUAUCGAGAGGAACACCUGCGGCGAAGGCGGGUUGCUGGGCUGACACUGACGCUGAAGCGCGAAAGCAUGGGGAGCGAACAGG
rnacentral:rRNA from 1 species